rnacentral:rRNA from 1 species
GAUGAACGCUAGCUACAGGCUUAACACAUGCAAGUCGAGGGGUAACGAGAGGAAAGCUUGCUUUCCUUGUCGACGACCGGCGCACGGGUGAGUAACGCGUAUCCAACCUGCCCCCAACUAGGGAAUAACCUUGCGACAGUAAGACUAAUACCCUAUAUUUUCCGCAGAUGUCAUCUGACGAGGAAUAAAGAUUUAUCGGUUGUGGAUGGGGAUGCGUCUGAUUAGCUUGUUGGAGGGGUAACGGCCCACCAAGGCAACGAUCAGUAGGGGUUCUGCGAGGAAGGUCCCCCACAUUGGAACUGAGACACGGUCCAAACUCCUACGGGAGGCAGCAGUGAGGAAUAUUGGUCAAUGGGCGGAAGCCUGAACCAGCCAAGUAGCGUGCAGGAUGACGGCCCUAUGGGUUGUAAACUGCUUUUAUACAGGAAUAAAGUUAGCCACGUGUGGUUAUUUGUAGGUACUGUAAGAAUAAGGACCGGCUAAUUCCGUGCCAGCCGCCGCCGUAA